UAUGAGCUCUCGAACUAUCUGAGUUUCAAGGAUUGGUUCAAUGGAGCCUUAUCAUUGGAGUUGACGAAUGAUCAUCCCAAUAUGCGGAUAAUCCACAGAAAAGUAGCACUAAUCCUUGGACAAUGGGUUUCAGAGAUUAAAGAUGACACCAGAAGAGCCGUUUAUUGUGCUCUAAUCAGAUUACUUCAGGAGAGUGACUUGUGUGUAAGGCUGACCGCAUGCCGGUCGUUGUAUUAUCAUAUUGAAGAUGCAACUUUUAAUGAGAAUGAGUUCUUAGAUCUUCUUCCGGUUUGUUGGGAUCUGUGUUUCAAAGUGGUGGAUGAAGUACAGGAAUUUGACUCAAAGGUUCAAGUUCUGAAUACUAUCUCUGUUCUGAUAGCACGUGUUACUGAAAUUACACCAUAUGCAAACAAGUUGAUGCUAUUUUUCCAGAAGGCAUGGGAAGAAUCUUCUAGUGAAAGCAUCUUGCAGAUUCAACUUCUUACUGCAUUGAAGAAUUUUGUAGUUGCUCUCGGUUAUCAGUCGCCUAAAUCGUACGGCAUGUUAUUGCCGAUUUUGCGAAGUGGAAUUAACAUAACCAGCCCUGAUGAACUUCUAGAAGACUGCAUGCAGUUAUGGGAAGCAACACUUAUUAAUGCGCCUUCUAUGGUACCAGAAUUGUUGGGGUAUUUCCCAUGUCUUGUGGAAAUAUUGGAAAGAAGUUUUGAUCACUUGAAGGUUGCUACCAAUAUCAUUGAAGACUAUGUUAUUUUGGGUGGAAGGGAGUUUCUCAGUUUGCAUGCGUCUAAUAUUGCUAAACUUCUAGAUCUGGUGGUUGGGAAUGUCAAUGACAGGGGACUACUCUCAGUUAUUCCAGUCAUUGACAUUCUAGUUCAGUGUUUCCCGAUUGAAGUGCCUCAGCUUAUCAGUUCCACACUGCAGAAACUUAUAAUCAUGUGCCUGACUGGGGGAGAUGAUCAUGAUCCUUCCAAGGCAGCUGUAAAAGCAUCAUCAUCAGCACUGCUGGCAAGGAUUUUGGUGAUGAACACGAAUUAUCUUGCACAGCUAACUUCUGAUCCAUCACUGUCUAUACACCUUCAGAAAUCUGGUUUUCCUAGUGAAGAAAACAUACUCCUUUGCCUCGUCGACAUGUGGCUUGAAAAGGUUGACAAUGUUACCUCUUUCCAGAAGAAGACAAUUGGUUUGGCCCUCUCUAUAAUUCUGACUUUGAGGUUGCCUCAAGUACUUGAUAAACUUGAUCAGAUUAUGAGUGUAUGUACAAGUGUUAUAAUGGGUGGAAGUGAGGAUUUAAG
rnacentral:misc_RNA from 1 species